AUGUGGAAUACUUACUUCAAAGGGUUCCCAAAUUUAUGGUUGCACAACUUCUUUGUAAGCUCUGCUUCCUCUUCACAGAAAAUAUUGUGUCGCUUCAACCUCCCUUCUUCUCAAUCUGCGGCGGUGCUCUACGUUUUCAUCGAUACACAACAACGACUACAUCCUUCGUCUUUGUUUCUCAGUCAGUUUCAAUCUCUUCCAACUCUCUCAAGUUUAGACGUUAGCGACACACUCCUCCAUGACCACAUGACCGCUUAUCAUCUCGCCUUCAUCGAUUCAACUCACUUUCUCAAAAAUCCACAUCGACUGCUAAUAGAAAAUGUUGCGGUAUAA